UACGUAGGGUGCGAGCGUUAAUCGGAAUUACUGGGCGUAAAGCGUGCGUAGACGGUUUUGUAAGUCGGAUGUGAAAUCCCCGGGCUCAACCUGGGAAUUGCAUUCGAGACUGCAAGGCUUGGGUGCGGAAGAGGGAAGCGGAAUUUCCGGUGUAGCGGUGAAAUGCGUAGAUAUCGGAAGGAACAUCAGUGGCGAAAGCGGCUUCCUGGUCCAGCACCGACGUUCAGGCACGAAAGCGUGGGGAGCAAACAGG
rnacentral:rRNA from 1 species